AACGAACGCUGGCGGCAUGCCUAACACAUGCAAGUCGAACGAGACCUUCGGGUCUAGUGGCGCACGGGUGCGUAACGCGUGGGAACCUGCCCUUAGGUUCGGAAUAACUCCCCGAAAGGGGUGCUAAUACCGGAUAAUGUCUUCGGACCAAAGAUUUAUCGCCUUUGGAUGGGCCCGCGUUGGAUUAGCUAGUUGGUAGGGUAAAAGCCUACCAAGGCGACGAUCCAUAGCUGGUCUGAGAGGAUGAUCAGCCACACUGGGACUGAGACACGGCCCAGACACGGGGGGGAGGCGGAGGUGGGAGAGAGUGAACAGGGGGCGAGAGCAGGGAGGGAGAGUGAGGGGUGGGGGAGGAAGGGCUGAGGGUUGAAAAGAUCUUGUACGGGGAAGAAUAAGGACAGGGCGGGUAGAAUCAGCUACGGCAAACGCGGUCCAAGAGGGGGGGGGAAAAGAGGAAGAACCCGCGUACGACC
rnacentral:rRNA from 1 species